rnacentral:sRNA from 2 species
UGCCCCCUGUUUUUUGUUUCUUGUUGUCUUACGAUGCACACAUCAGCCCAGCCUGAUGAUUUCAUUGAUUGGUGAUUUGCGCCUGCAAUGACGAAGCAUUUUUUUCUUUUUCCUUUCCUUUCCUUUUUUUUUUUUUGCCGCUUUUCCCUUUGUGCUCAUUGUAUUGGUGUGGUUGUUGUUGCUGUGGUUGUUGUUGCUGUUGAGUUUUUCAGUUUCUGCCUUUUUUUCUUCUUUACUUCUUCUCUUUUUUUUUUUAGGAAUUAAAUCUAUACUUGACUGCUGGCAGCUGUGGUUCUCUUUGAAUUGUCUGAAUCAUAAUCCGGCAUCGCUUACGGAGUCAUCUAGACAGGUAGACGGGGUUGUGAAGCAAUGGCUCUCGUACCACGCCCUUUUCCAAUCAUCCAUCCCUGUAAUCUAUGCGUUCUGUGUGUAAUUUUCUUUCGCCUCGUAUAAUUUUCUUUUCUUUUCUUUUUUUUUUGGACUAACGUGCUGCUGGGCGAAUCGCCCAAAGGAGCACUUGUUUUGGUUUUAUUUGCGAUUAAGUGCAUUCUUUAAGUUCUGUACAACACGGCUGUACCUGCAGUAGAGAGAGAGCGGUAACCGUAUUAUUGAAGAGGACAAACAGCGACAAAAACAAAAACAACAACAACAAAAACAACAAGCUUUUCUGAAUCAAGGGAGACUCUGCAGACAAUUUAGCCAAAAUCCCC